rnacentral:rRNA from 1 species
UACGAAGGGGGCUAGCGUUGCUCGGAAUCACUGGGCGUAAAGCGCACGUAGGCGGAUCUUUAAGUCAGGGGUGAAAUCCUGGAGCUCAACUCCAGAACUGCCUCUGAUACUGGGGAUCUUGAGUCCGGAAGAGGUAAGUGGAACUGCGAGUGUAGAGGUGAAAUUCGUAGAUAUUCGCAAGAACACCAGUGGCGAAGGCGGCUCACUGGCCCGAUACUGACGCUGAGGCACGAAAGCGUGGGGAGCAAACAGG